ACUUACCUAUUGUAGUUGCUUCGACGGGUGGCUUCAGGCGGAGCCGCCUGCUUCUGCUCGCAGAGGUACCCGUCAGAAGCCCACAAAACUCUUUGUGCUUUAGUGGCAUGUAUGACCAAAAGAAAAUUAAUGAGUCAAAACUUUCAACAACGGAUCUCUUGGUUCUGGCAUCGAUGAAGAACGCAGCGAAAUGCGAUAUGUAAUGUGAAUUGCAGACUUCAGUGAAUCAUCGAAUCUUUGAACGCACAUUGCGCCCGCUAGUAAUCUGGUGGGCAUGCCUGUUCGAGCGUCAUUUCAAACCUCAAGCCCUGCUUGGUGUUGGGUUUCUACGGCUCCUGUAGGCUCCAAAAACCAGUGGCGGGCUCGCUAUAAGUCCGAGCGCAGUACAUGUAUCUCGCUUGGGAAGUGUAGCGGGCUCCAGCCGCAACCCCCCCCAAACUUACACCACAAGGUUGACCUCGGAUCAGGUAGGAAUACCCGCUGAACUUAAGCAUAUCAAUAAGCGGAGGAAAAGAAACCAACAGGGAUUGCCCUAGUAACGGCGAGUGAAGCGGCAACAGCUCAAAUUUGAAAUCUGGCUUCAGCCCGAGUUGUAAUUUGUAGAGGAAGCUUUUGGUGAGGUGCCUCCUGAGUUCCCUGGAACGGGACGCCACAGAGGGUGAGAGCCCCGUAUAGCUGGACACCAAGCCUUUGCAAAGCCCCUUCGACGAGUCGAGUAGUUUGGGAAUGCUGCUCAAAAUGGGAGGUAUAUCUCUUCUAAAGCUAAAUACCGGCCAGAGACCGAUAGCGCACAAGUAGAGUGAUCG
rnacentral:rRNA from 1 species